rnacentral:lncRNA from 1 species
CAAAAACCAAAACAAGUACUCCAGGCAUACCCGGGCAAAGACAGUAGAAAGCUAAUACAAAGAAAUCAAAGCUCCAUGGCCAAGGAUUCAUAAAGAAUCAAGACAUCCGGAUACAAAGUAAACAUGAUUUUGUAUACGUGAGUCUUGAUCCUUCUAGCAAUAGAAUCCAAGUCGACCGGGAGGUCUUCAAAAAUCUUCCUAUUCCUCGUAAGCCAUAUGUAGUAAACUGUGCUAGCAAGAGCAACUCUCUUCGUCUUGGUCAGCCACGAAGUUCCACGAUUCUCCUUUUUCAUCCACUUAAGCGCAAUGGCAAGUGUAGACAUAGAUCUUGUGAUGCCAAGCCAUCUCCUAAUGCUUCCCCAUAAUGAGAAAGUGAAGGAGCACUUAAAGAAUAGAUGGUCACAAGUUUCCUCAAAAAGUCCACAAAAGACACACCUCCGAUCAAUAUCCAAGAAGAGUAGUUUGUCUUUAGUUAGUAGCUUUGAUUGGGCUGCUAACCAAAGUAAGAAAGAAUGCUUCGGAGUGAUGCACGGCUUCCAAACUUCUCCUCCCCACGGCUUCAAAGUACCUUUAUGCCUAAAGUAUUCAUAGGCAAUUUUUGUUGAGAAUUUAUCAUGCACAGAACAGCCCAGAUUUUGAGUCGAAGAUUCAAAAAACUGCCUACCGAAGAAAGCUGUCUGCCGGCCAGAAAUGCUGCUGAAUGAAGGGCCCAAAUUCUGGUCGUGCAGAGCACUCCCAGCUCCAAAAAACCGUCCAUUUAAUGCCCUUCCAUCACUGGACGUGUCCCCGUUAACCCCCUGAUCAAUCUGAAAAUGAUGGGCCCCCGUUUCCUGUUGCUGUCUCGGAAUUACAGUGUGCUGGGCAGCUUCUUUGGUAGAAAUAAAAUCCCUGAUUUCAAGUAAUUUCUUGAAAAGUGGGGAGUGAUCCUUUUUAGGACGAGCCUCCCAAAUACAAGUGCCGUUAAGAUAAGCAUGAUGAACCCAUCUAAUCCAUAAGGUGUCCUUCUUCUUGUGGAUGUUCCAAAGGGAUUUAGCAAGUAACGCGAAAUUCCAAGUCUUCAAG